GGGAAUAUUGGGCAAUGGGCGCAAGCCUGACCCAGCGACGCCGCGUGAGGGAAGACGGUCUUCGGAUUGUAAACUGCUUUAGACAGGGAAGAAACAAGACAGUACCUGUAGAAUAAGCUCCGGCUAACUACGUGCCAGCAGCCGCGGUAAUACGUAGGGAGCAAGCGUUAUCCGGAUUUAUUGGGUGUAAAGGGUGCGUAGACGGGAAUUUAAGUUAGUUGUGAAAUCCCUCGGCUUAACUGAGGAACUGCAACUAAAACUGAAUUUCUUGAGUGCGGGAGAGGAAAGUGGAAUUCCUAGUGUAGCGGUGAAAUGCGUAGAUAUUAGGAGGAACACCAGUGGCGAAGGCGACUUUCUGGACCGUAACUGACGUUGAGGCACGAAAGUGUGGGGAGCAAACAG
rnacentral:rRNA from 1 species